rnacentral:misc_RNA from 1 species
GCAAACUUGGUCAUUUAGAGGAAGUAAAAGUCGUAACAAGGUUUCCGUAGGUGAACCUGCGGAAGGAUCAUUAAAGUAUUUUUGGGUUCUUUUUGAGCCUAACUAUCUGACUUUUGUGGUAAUAAUGAAAUAAUGAUUGGGUUUAAAGAUGAUGCUUGUAAAGAAAUUUAGAGGUAUCGACCCAAGCUUUUUAUCAACUCUUAUUAUUUUGACUGAAUGAUCAAGUAAUCCAAUUUUUUUUUUUGGGUUAAAAAAGGUUUAAAUAACUUUCAACAACGGAUCUCUUGGUUCUCGCAUCGAUGAAGAACGCAGC